AUGAGAGAGAGCGAGCCAGGGGAGUGGAAAGGAAGGACAGCAUGCUGCAUGUGUACAGUUACACACAAAAACACACACUUUCACACACAUACCCAGUCAGUCCAGGGAGACAGAGGCAGUGCUGGUGUCUCUGUAGAGUUCUGUCUCUCUGUUUUUCACUCCGCUGUAUCCAUUAGCCAAGAUGCCACAGAGAAAGAGGAGUUUCACUUUUGGAGCGUAUGGCGGUUUGGCACCUGGGUUGAGUCAUAGGACUUGACUCUAGACGUCUCAAAAAGACUCUGAGUGGUCCCUGUUCAGAAACAACCAUGUGGAAAAGCUACUUGUUUUGCAAGCAGUGUUGCUGACCACUGGUUUUUGGAGGUCAGCAGAUUCUUUAUGCCCAAUUUCAAUGGUCCAGUGUGGCAAAGAAUGGUACAUGGAGUGAACCGAAAAAAAUUGAGAACACUGAAAAAAAUAAAAAUAAAUCACAUUCAGAAAUUGAAACA
ensembl:lncRNA